UGGGGAAUUUUGGACAAUGGGCGAAAGCCUGAUCCAGCAAUGCCGCGUGUGUGAAGAAGGCCUUCGGGUUGUAAAGCACUUUUGUCCGGAAAGAAAUCCUUGGCUCUAAUACAGUCGGGGGGAUGACGGUACCGGAAGAAUAAGCACCGGCUAACUACGUGCCAGCAGCCGCGGUAAUACGUAGGGUACAAGCGUUAAUCGGAAUUACUGGGCGUAAAGCGUGCGCAGGCGGUUUGCUAAGACCGAUGUGAAAUCCCCGGGCUCAACCUGGGAACUGCAUUGGUGACUGGCAGGCUAGAGUAUGGCAGAGGGGGGUAGAAUUCCACGUGUAGCAGUGAAAUGCGUAGAGAUGUGGAGGAAUACCGAUGGCGAAGGCAGCCCCCUGGGCCAAUACUGACGCUCAUGCACGAAAGCGUGGGGAGCAAACAGGAUUAGAUACCCUGGUAGUCCACGCCCUAAACGAUGUCAACUAGUUGUUGGGGAUUCAUUUCCUUAGUAACGUAGCUAACGCGUGAAGUUGACCGCCUGGGGAGUACGGUCGCAAGAUUAAAACUUAAAUGAAUUGACGGGGUCAUAGCUGUUUCCU
rnacentral:rRNA from 1 species